UACGUAGGGACCAAGCGUUGUUCGGAUUUACUGGGCGUAAAGGGCGCGUAGGCGGCAAUUCAAGUCAUCUGUGAAAUCUCCGGGCUUAACCCGGAACGGUCAGGUGAUACUGUUUUGCUAGAGUGCGGAAGGGGCAAUCGGAAUUCUUGGUGUAGCGGUGAAAUGCGUAGAUAUCAAGAGGAACACCUGAGGUGAAGACGGGUUGCUGGGCCGACACUGACGCUGACAGCGCGAAAGCCAGGGGAGCAAGCGGG
rnacentral:rRNA from 1 species